rnacentral:rRNA from 1 species
AUUGAACGCUGGCGGCAUGCUUUACACAUGCAAGUCGAACGGUAACGGGCCGCAAGGUGCUGACGAGUGGCGAACGGGUGAGUAAUGCAUCGGAACGUGCCCAGUCGUGGGGGAUAACGCAGCGAAAGCUGCGCUAAUACCGCAUACGAUCUAUGGAUGAAAGCGGGGGACCGUAAGGCCUCGCGCGAUUGGAGCGGCCGAUGUCAGAUUAGGUAGUUGGUGGGGUAAAGGCUCACCAAGCCGACGAUCUGUAGCUGGUCUGAGAGGACGACCAGCCACACUGGGACUGAGACACGGCCCAGACUCCUACGGGAGGCAGCAGUGGGGAAUUUUGGACAAUGGGCGCAAGCCUGAUCCAGCAAUGCCGCGUGCAGGAAGAAGGCCUUCGGGUUGUAAACUGCUUUUGUACGGAACGAAACGGUCCUGGUUAAUACCUAGGGCUAAUGACGGUACCGUAAGAAUAAGCACCGGCUAACUACGUGCCAGCAGCCGCCGUAAAAC